GUUAGAACUUUAUGGUUUUGAAACAAACAUUACCUGCAUUUCCCCUCUCAUUUUCGUUUUGCCUUAGGCUUUUCACACCCAGCGUCAGUGAUUGUAGGGUGAUAAUCUUUGCAUGUGGUCACUGGCCAGAAAGCUUUUGUUUAUGGUCACAAAUGAGUGAAUGAUGAGUGUCCUGAUUAUGGCUUUUAUAUGUAGAGAACUCCAACGCCAUAUCAUAUAUUGCACUCCUUCACCUCCCCGUGUGCAAAGAAGCUUAGCUUUUUCUGUGCUGCAGGAGUGCAUGACGUCAGAGCCAAAUUUUCCUCAUUAUCCACUCUCUCCUGCACAGGUAAGACUCUCUGCCUUAGCCAGCGUUGUAAAUCUUAAUUGGAUUAAUGGAUCAGUGGCACGACUAUAGACACACGAGCCCAAGGCAAUGCUAAGCUGCCCAUUCUGUAACUGCCAGCCAGUGUAAUGCACUGACCGCACAAUGCCAGUAACAGAGGCUCUAGAAACAUCCUGGCCUUUGUGUGCAAAUCCUCACCAACAACUGAACUGACAAGCGAUUCUCGACAUACGGAUCAGGUUUUUUAAAACAAAGUUGUAGGCAUAACUAAAGGACAGUGUUAAACUAGAGAUACUGUCUACAUGCAAAGCUGUUGUGGCCCUUUCGGGGGAAUGGUGUCUGUCCAGGGGGCCAGAGAUUGGGCUUGUUCUCUUUGUUGUGGUGUAAUUAUUGUAAUUUGUGGUUAUUUAAAGUGUUGACCCAUUCCUAAGCAACAUGACUGAUCAUGUGUCCAGAAUAAUGCUGCUUUGCACAAAUAAUGCAGGAUCUCAUAUAUAUUUAAAAUAUUUUAUGACAUAAGAUACCUUUAUGUCUAAUAUAUGUGAAUUUGGAAUAAUUAAUCUAAUCGCAAAUACAGUGUUGCAUAACUCAUACCCUUUUAUUAAUGAGAGCAGAUAUGAAGCAUAUGUGUCGCCCUCUAGAACUUUUUGAGACUGAUGAGAUUUAUUGUGUCAGUUUUGACCUGUUGCCAUGUUCUUGUCCCCUCAAGUUUUAAACAGAUACAUGGCCAAUCUGAAUCCUCAUGCAUAACUGGAUCAUUUAAUCAUAGUGUGUGUGUGUGUGUGUGUGUGUGUGUGUGUGCACGUGGGUGUUGUGUGGUUGGCUCGUCUGAAAUCCUCAGGCUCAGUCUACUAGCACAAAUGUGUUCUGACAGCAGCAGUAUUAAUAUUUCAGCAUCAACAGCAGAGACAGCCUGCUGGUGUUGGGCCCUGAUUCAAACCCGCAACCAGCAGAUGAGUGGGCACAUCCAACAUAAACAUCCUGCCUCCAUACCAUCAGCUCAAGCCAACACACCUGUGUCAACAUACAGUAGAAAAAGAAGACAGUUUGAUAGUUAAUUAUCAGUCAAUUCCAAGUGAUCCAGUACGCAAAGAUGAAACUUUAUCAUGUCAGGGGUGUGACUGUUGGAAUUUUUAAUGUUUACUGAUAUUAAAAUCUAAUUCAGUGUGUAAUUCAGUAGAUUCUUGUUUUGAGCUGCAUUCAUUUUGCUUCAUUCGUUAGUCAGUGG
rnacentral:lncRNA from 12 species